rnacentral:rRNA from 1 species
GACCCGAAACCCGGUGAUCUAGCCAUGGGCAGGUUGAAGGUUGGGUAACACUAACUGGAGGACCGAACCGACUAAUGUUGAAAAAUUAGCGGAUGACUUGUGGCUGGGGGGGAAAGGCCAAUCAAACCGGGAGAUAGCUGGUUCUCCCCGAAAGCUAUUUAGGUAGCGCCUCGUGAAUUCAUCUCCGGGGGUAGAGCACUGUUUCGGCAAGGGGGUCAUCC